rnacentral:miRNA from 1 species
ACCAUCAAGUUUGGUGUUUAUGGUGUCGAUAUUCGACGUCAUAAACACCAUCAAGUUUGGUGUUUCUAUAUGACGUCGAUAUUCAACGUCAUAAACACCAUCAAGUUUGGUAUUUAUGACGUCGAUAUACGAAGUCAUAAACAACAACAAGUUUUGUGUUGAUGACGUCGAUAUUCGACGUCAUAAACACCAUCAAGUUAGGUGUUUAUGGCGUCGAUAAACGAAGUCAUAAACACCAUCAAGUUUGGUGUU